rnacentral:tRNA from 1 species
GGGCGUUUAGCUCAGUUGGUUAGAGCAUCUCCUUUACACGGAGAGGGUCGUGGGUUCGAAUCCUACAACGCCCA